AAAUUGAAGAGUUUGAUCAUGGCUCAGAUUGAACGCUGGCGGCAGGCCUAACACAUGCAAGUCGAACGGUAGCACAGAGAGCUUGCUCUCGGGUGACGAGUGGCGGACGGGUGAGUAAUGUCUGGGAAACUGCCCGAUGGAGGGGGAUAACUACUGGAAACGGUAGCUAAUACCGCAUAACGUCGCAAGACCAAAGUGGGGGACCUUCGGGCCUCACACCAUCGGAUGUGCCCAGAUGGGAUUAGCUAGUAGGUGGGGUAACGGCUCACCUAGGCGACGAUCCCUAGCUGGUCUGAGAGGAUGACCAGCCACACUGGAACUGAGACACGGUCCAGACUCCUACGGGAGGCAGCAGUGGGGAAUAUUGCACAAUGGGCGCAAGCCUGAUGCAGCCAUGCCGCGUGUAUGAAGAAGGCCUUCGGGUUGUAAAGUACUUUCAGCGAGGAGGAAGGCGUUGUGGUUAAUAACCACAGCGAUUGACGUUACUCGCAGAAGAAGCACCGGCUAACUCCGUGCCAGCAGCCGCGGUAAUACGGAGGGUGCAAGCGUUAAUCGGAAUUACUGGGCGUAAAGCGCACGCAGGCGGUUUGUUAAGUCAGAUGUGAAAUCCCCGGGCUCAACCUGGGAACUGCAUUUGAAACUGGCAAGCUUGAGUCUCGUAGAGGGGGG
rnacentral:rRNA from 1 species